AUAAUUUUGAUUGCCUAGUUAAGAAUUAAUUAAGGGUCAUUAAUUAAUGUAGUUGAUUAAGGAUAUUUAUCAAUAUUAUAUCCUAGAGUCCCCCUGCGGUUUUGUACCACAUGAUUCAAGAAGAUGGUUGGCUGAGAAUGUUCAGAAGCUCAAAAAUCCUUCUACAUGUCGAGAAGAAUGGCACGAACUCUCUGUGAUUUGGGCCAACAAUAAGAACGUACGAGACGCUCUACAUGUUCGAAAGGAGACUAGUGGAGCAUGGGAACGAUGCAGGAGUAACUUGUCUUUUGCAAUAAUUAUCAACAAUACUAUACCAUAUCAUGCAAAUCUUAGCCGUAAGGGCUUUAGGUUUCUUAUUUCAGUGGUGAUCACGACAUGGUUGUGCCAUUUAGUUCAACACUAUCAUGGAUUAAAUCACUAAACUACUCUAUUAUUGAUGAUUGGAACUUGGAAGCCAUGGGUAGUUAAUGGUCAAGUUGCAGGUUACACAAGAAGUUACUCCAAUCAAAUGACGUUUGCAACGGUCAAGGGAGGAGGGCAUACUGCCUCCGACUGGAAACCUGUAGAAUGUCUUGCCAUGUUAAAGCGUUGGUUAUCCCACGUAUCGCUUUAAUUGAUUUUCAAGAUCUUUAAUGAAAAUUUACAAAUUGAUUAUUUUUUUUGAGCCUACAAGGAUUUUCUAAAUAAGUCAUGUAUAUUGAUAGUAUAAUGUAAUUUUUAUAUCAUCGACUCAAUCUAGUUGGCUAUAGUAGGUUAUUGUUUUAUUUUUCAAAUUACCCUAUCAAGUUUGAUGUAUGAAAAAUUAAUUGUUAUUAGGCAAUUUAACUUGAUGUUACAAAUAAUUCAUAUAUUGUCGGUGUACAAAAUUUAAAUU